GCCUGAAUGUUUGUAUUCCUCUCAAAAUUCAUAGCCUGAAAUCAAUCCCCGGUGUGAUGGUAUUUGAAGGCGGGCCUUUGGGAAAUCAGGCAGCUGGAAGGAUGAUUUAUCAGUUGAUACAUCUUACCACCAAGACAGGGUCUUGCUGUGUCUGGACUCUCCUGCCUCAGCCUCCAAGUGGCUGGAUCCCCUGUGUGCAUCACCCCAUUUGGCUUCUUCUCUUCCUUGAGGGGGAAGGUGGCCCAGAUAUUGAGCCCCAGCCUUCCAUGUGGCCGCAGC